UUGGGAUAGGGAAUAGAUUAUUCAGUAAAAACAUACAGUAAAAACAAAAUAUGUCUUAUGUACUUUUUUUUUUUAAAAUACGUCAUGGUGAUCAUUCCAUAUUAGUAUUUAAUGCAUGCCUACAUCUUCUUUUUUCAUAAAUUUAUUUAUUUUUAUUUUUGGCUGCAUUGGAUCUUUGUUGCUGAGCACGGUCUUUCUCUAGUUGUGGCGAGCGGGGGCUACUCUUCUUUGCGGUGCUCGGGCUUCUCACUGCGGUGGCUUCUGUUGUUGCAGAGCACAGGCUCUAGGCACCCGAGCUUCAGUAGUUGCAGCACGUGGGCUCAGUAGUUGUGGCUCGCAGGCUGUAGAGCACAGGCUCAGUAGUUGUGGAACAUGGGCUUAGUUGCUCCGUGGCAUGUGGGAUCUUCCUGGACCAGGGCUUGAACCCGUGUCCCCUGCAUUGGCAGGCGGAUUCUUAACCACUGCGCCACCAGGGAAGUCCCUCAUGUACAACUUUUAAACUACAAUAAUGAUGUACCUUAAUUACUUCCAUGCUCAUAGGUCUAACAUUACAGUUUGUUUUUUUUUUUAAUAAACACAAUUAAGACUUCUAGGAGCGUUUUAUAAUAAAGUAAUUCCUAAUUUUUCUUUGCAGAUAGAUCAAGCACCUCCGAAGUACAAAUUCCUAUACGCAAGAUGAAAACUGAGACUCAGAAAGGUUUUCCAUGGCCACACAGAAGGAAAUCUGUGAAGUUGGAAAGGGCAUUGGAUUUUGAGCCCUGGAUUCCAGACUCUUCCCUGACACUGACUCACCUGUGACCGUGAGAGAACCAGGCAACCUCUCUGGGCCUCAGUUUCCUCAUCUGUAAAAUAAGGUGUCAACGGAAGGUUUUCAGGAAGCAACCAGGACUCGCGUCCCUCCCUCAGAUGGUCCUUAAAUCAAUCAUUUGUGAGGAAAUACACAGGGGGUGCAGUUGACCAGUUAGGCCCCUGGAAAUAAUGACCAGAACCAACGAGGUCUGAUCACCACCCGAUUUAACCAACAGAGAUUGUCGGCUGCGAUUGGUUUAAAGACACAUCCUAACAUCAGAGAUGUAAUGGGAAAAAAAGGGGACACGGGUUUGAGCCCUGGUCUGGGAAGAUCCCACAUGCCACAGAGCAACUGAGACCGUGCGCCACAACUACUGAGCCCGCGCUCUAGAGCCAGCGAGCCACAACUGCUGAAGCCCGCACGCCUAGAGCCCGCGCUCCGCAGCAAGAGAAGCCACCGCAAUGAGAAGCCCGCCCACUGCAAUGAAGAGUAGCCCCCGCUCGCCGCAGCUAGAG